rnacentral:rRNA from 1 species
UACGUAGGGAGCGAGCGUUGUCCGGAUUCAUUGGGCGUAAAGAGCUCGUAGGCGGCUUGGCAAGUCGGGUGUGAAAACUCCAGGCUCAACCUGGAGACGCCACCCGAUACUGCCAUGGCUAGAGUCCGGUAGGGGACCACGGAAUUCCUGGUGUAGCGGUGAAAUGCGCAGAUAUCAGGAGGAACACCGGUGGCGAAGGCGGUGGUCUGGGCCGGAACUGACGCUGAGACGCGAAAGCGUGGGGAGCGAACAGG